GGACUGGCGGCGUGCUAUACAUGCAAGUCGAACGCUUCUUUCCUCCCGAGUGCUUGCACUCAAUUGGAAAGAGGAGUGGCGGACGGGUGAGUAACACGUGGGUAACCUACCCAUCAGAGGGGGAUAACACUUGGAAACAGGUGCUAAUACCGCAUAACAGUUUAUGCCGCAUGGCAUAAGAGUGAAAGGCGCUUUCGGGUGUCGCUGAUGGAUGGACCCGCGGUGCAUUAGCUAGUUGGUGAGGUAACGGCUCACCAAGGCCACGAUGCAUAGCCGACCUGAGAGGGUGAUCGGCCACACUGGGACUGAGACACGGCCCAGACUCCUACGGGAGGCAGCAGUAGGGAAUCUUCGGCAAUGGACGAAAGUCUGACCGAGCAACGCCGCGUGAGUGAAGAAGGUUUUCGGAUCGUAAAACUCUGUUGUUAGAGAAGAACAAGGACGUUAGUAACUGAACGUCCCCUGACGGUAUCUAACCAGAAAGCCACGGCUAACUACGUGCCAGCAGCCGCGGUAAUACGUAGGUGGCAAGCGUUGUCCGGAUUUAUUGGGCGUAAAGCGAGCGCAGGCGGUUUCUUAAGUCUGAUGUGAAAGCCCCCGGCUCAACCGGGGAGGGUCAUUGGAAACUGGGAGACUUGAGUGCAGAAGAGGAGAGUGGAAUUCCAUGUGUAGCGGUGAAAUGCGUAGAUAUAUGGAGGAACACCAGUGGCGAAGGCGGCUCUCUGGUCUGUAACUGACGCUGAGGCUCGAAAGCGUGGGGAGCAAACAGGAUUAGAUACCCUGGUAGUCCACGCCGUAACGAUGAGUGCUAGUGUUGGAGGGUUUCCGCCCUUCAGUGCUGCAGCAAACGCAUAGCACUCGCUGGGGAGUACGACGCAAGUGAACUCAAGGAAUUGACGGGGCCCGCACAAGCGUGAGCAUGGUGGUUUAUCGAAGCACCGCGAAGAACUACAGUCUGACAUCGUGACCACUCUAAGAGAUAGAGCUUUCUCGGACAGUGAACGUGUGCAUGGUGUCGUCAGCUCUUCUGAAUGUGUAGUCCGCACGAGCCAACUAAUGUAGUGCAUCAUAGUGAAUUAGCGAACUGCGUGACACGAGAAAGAU
rnacentral:rRNA from 1 species